rnacentral:rRNA from 1 species
GGUGAACGCUGGCGGCGUGCUUAAGACAUGCAAGUCGAACGGCAGUCUUCGGACUGUAGUGGCGCACGGGUGAGUAACGCGUAACUGACCUACCCCAAAGUCGCGGAUAACGAUUCGAAAGAAUCGCUAAUACGUGAUGUGCUGUCAGAUUGUGUUCUGCCAGUAAAGAUUGAUUGCUUUGGGAUGGGGUUGCGUUCCAUCAGCUAGUUGGUGGGGUAAAGGCCCACCAAGGCGACGACGGAUAGCCGGCCUGAGAGGGUGGCCGGCCACAGGGGCACUGAGACACGGGUCCCACUACUACGGGAGGCAGCAGUUAGGAAUCUUCCACAAUGGGCGAAAGCCUGAUGGAGCGACGCCGCGUGAGGGAUGAAGGUCUUCGGAUCGUAAACCUCUGAGUCAGGGACGAAAGACACUUCGGUGGGAUGACGGUACCUGAGUAAUAGCACCGGCUAACUCCGUGCCAGCCGCCGCGGUAACAC